GCCGCGUGGAGGAUGAAGGUCUUCGGAUUGUAAACUCCUGUUGCCCGGGACGAAAAGCUUCGACCUAACACGUCGAAGUCUGACGGUACCGGGUGAGGAAGCCCCGGCUAACUCUGUGCCAGCAGCCGCGGUAAUACAGAGGGGGCAAGCGUUGUUCGGAAUUACUGGGCGUAAAGGGCGCGUAGGCGGCCUCUUAAGUCGAACGUGAAAUCCCCGGGCUCAACCCGGGAACUGCGUCCGAUACUGGGGGGCUUGAAUCCGGGAGAGGGAUGUGGAAUUCCAGGUGUAGCGGUGAAAUGCGUAGAUAUCUGGAGGAACACCGGUGGCGAAGGCGGCAUCCUGGGCCGGUAUUGACGCUGAGGCGCGAAAGCUAGGGGAGCACCACGGGAUUAGAUACCCCGGUAGUCCUAGCCCUAAACGAUGUCUACUAGUUGUUGGGUCUUAAUUGACUUAGUAACGCAGCUAACGCGUGAAGUAGACCGCCUGGGGAGUACGGUCGCAAGAUUAAAACUCAAAGGAAUUG
rnacentral:rRNA from 1 species